rnacentral:rRNA from 1 species
GUGGGGAAUUGUUCGCAAUGGGCGCAAGCCUGACGACGCAACGCCGCGUGGAGGAUGAAGAUCUUCGGGUCGUAAACUCCUUUCGAUCGAGACGAACGACCUUGGGGUGAACAGCCCUGGGGGGUGACGGUACCGAGAGAAGAAGCCCCGGCUAACUCCGUGCCAGCAGCCGCGGUAAUACGGGGGGGGCAAGCGUUGUUCGGAAUUACUGGGCGUAAAGGGCUCGUAGGCGGCCUGCUAAGUCAGACGUGAAAUUCCUCGGCUCAACCGGGGCAUGGCGUCUGAGACUGGGGGGCUGGAGUCCGGGAGAGGGAUGCGGAAUUCCAGGUGUAGCGGUGAAAUGCGUAGAUAUCUGGAGGAACACCGGUGGCGAAGGCGGCAUCCUGGACCGGCACUGACGCUGAGGAGCGAAAGCCAGGGGAGCAAACGGGAUUAGAUACCCUAGUAGUCC